GAUGAACGCUGGCGGCGUGCCUAAUACAUGCAAGUCGAGCGAACAGACGAGGAGCUUGCUCCUCUGACGUUAGCGGCGGACGGGUGAGUAACACGUGGAUAACCUACCUAUAAGACUGGGAUAACUUCGGGAAACCGGAGCUAAUACCGGAUAAUAUAUUGAACCGCAUGGUUCAUUAGUGAAAGACGGUUUUGCUGUCACUAAUAGAUGGAUCCGCGCCGCAUUAGCUAGUUGGUAAGGUAACGGCUUACCAAGGCGACGAUGCGUAGCCGACCUGAGAGGGUGAUCGGCCACACUGGAACUGAGACACGGUCCAGACUCCUACGGGAGGCAGCAGUAGGGAAUCUUCCGCAAUGGGCGAAAGCCUGACGGAGCAACGCCGCGUGAGUGAUGAAGGUCUUCGGAUCGUAAAACUCUGUUAUUAGGGAAGAACAAAUGUGUAAGUAACUAUGCACGUCUUGACGGUACCUAAUCAGAAAGCCACGGCUAACUACGUG
rnacentral:rRNA from 1 species